AACGAACGCUGGCGGCAGGCUUAAUACAUGCAAGUCGAACGGCUGUAGCAAUACAGCAGUGGCAGACGGGUGAGUAACACGUGGGAACCUACCUAGGGGUACGGAAUAACGCAGGGAAACUUGUGCUAAUACCGUAUACGACCUCAGGGUGAAAGAUUUAUCGCCCCUAGAUGGGCCCGCGUUGGAUUAGCUAGUUGGUGAGGUAAAAGCUCACCAAGGCGACGAUCCAUAGCUGGUCUGAGAGGAUGAUCAGCCACACUGGGACUGAGACACGGCCCAGACUCCUACGGGAGGCAGCAGUAGGGAAUCUUGGACAAUGGGCGCAAGCCUGAUCCAGCCAUGCCGCGUGUGUGAUGAAGGCCUUAGGGUUGUAAAG
rnacentral:rRNA from 1 species